UACGGGGGGGGGCAAGCGUUGUUCGGAAUUACUGGGCGUAAAGGGCUCGUAGGCGGCCAACUAAGUCGGAUGUGAAAUCCCCAGGCUCAACUUGGGAACUGCAUCCGAUACUGGAUGGCUUGAAUUCGGGAGAGGGAUGCAGAAUUCCAGGUGUAGCGGUGAAAUGCGUAGAUAUCUGGAGGAAUACCGGUGGCGAAGGCGGCAUCCUGGACCGACAUUGACGCUGAGGAGCGAAAGCUGAGGGGAGCAGAGGG
rnacentral:rRNA from 1 species